GAUGAACGCUGGCGGCGUGCCUAAUACAUGCAAGUCGAGCGAACAGACGAGGAGCUUGCUCCUCUGACGUUAGCGGCGGACGGGUGAGUAACACGUGGAUAACCUACCUAUAAGACUGGGAUAACGUCGGGAAACCGGAGCUAAUACCGGAUAAUAUAUUGAACCGCAUGGUUCAAUAGUGAAAGACGGUUUUGCUGUCACUUAUAGAUGGAUCCGCGCCGCAUUAGCUAGUUGGUAAGGUAACGGCUUACCAAGGCGACGAUGCGUAGCCGACCUGAGAGGGUGAUCGGCCACACUGGAACUGAGACACGGUCCAGACUCCUACGGGAGGCAGCAGUAGGGAAUCUUCCGCAAUGGGCGAAAGCCUGACGGAGCAACGCCGCGUGAGUGAUGAAGGUCUUCGGAUCGUAAAGCUCUGUUAUUAGGGAAGAACAAAUGUGUAAGUAACUAUGCACGUCUUGACGGUACCUAAUCAGAAAGCCACGGCUAACUACGUG
rnacentral:rRNA from 1 species